GUGGAAAAGUGUGAUAAGCUCUGAAAUAAAUAGCUUUAUCUUAACAUAUUAUCAUGGAGUCUUCUGGAACAAGAGCCCCACACAAACGUGUGGCUAAUUUCACGGCAGACGAAAAAGCUUUGUUAGCACAAUUAG